rnacentral:rRNA from 1 species
UACGGAGGGGGCUAGCGUUGUUCGGAAUUACUGGGCGUAAAGCGCACGUAGGCGGCUUUGCAAGUCAGAGGUGAAAGCCCGGGGCUCAACCCCGGAAUUGCCUUUGAGACUGCAUCGCUAGAAUUGUGGAGAGGUAAGUGGAAUUCCGAGUGUAGAGGUGAAAUUCGUAGAUAUUCGGAAGAACACCAGUGGCGAAGGCGACUUACUGGACACAUAUUGACGCUGAGACACGAAAGCGUGGGGAGCAAACAGG